rnacentral:rRNA from 1 species
UGGGGAAUAUUGGACAAUGGGCGCAAGCCUGAUCCAGCCAUGCCGCGUGAGUGAUGAAGGCCUUAGGGUUGUAAAGCUCUUUCACCGAUGAAGAUAAUGACGGUAGUCGGAGAAGAAGCCCCGGCUAACUUCGUGCCAGCAGCCGCGGUAAUACGAAGGGGGCUAGCGUUGUUCGGAAUUACUGGGCGUAAAGCGCACGUAGGCGGAUAUUUAAGUCAGGGGUGAAAUCCCGCAGCUCAACUGCGGAACUGCCUUUGAUACUGGGUAUCUUGAGUAUGGAAGAGGUUAGUGGAAUUGCGAGUGUAGAGGUGAAAUUCGUAGAUAUUCGCAGGAACACCAGUGGCGAAGGCGGCUAACUGGUCCAUAACUGACGCUGAGGUGCGAAGACGUGGGGAGCAAAACAGGAUUAGAUACCCUGGUAGUCCACGCCGUAAACGAUGAAUGUUAGCCGUCGGCAAGUUUACUUGUCGGUGGCGCAGCUAACGCA